GGACUUAAAAUCCGUUGACAUAGAUCGUGAGGGUUCAAGUCCCUCUACCCCCA
rnacentral:tRNA from 1 species